AGUGGACGCUGGCGGUAGGCCUAACACAUGCAAGUCGAACGGCAGCACAGUAAGAGCUUGCUCUUACGGGUGGCGAGUGGCGGACGGGUGAGGAAUACAUCGGAAUCUACUUUUUCGUGGGGGAUAACGUAGGGAAACUUACGCUAAUACCGCGUACGACCUACGGGUGAAAGCAGGGGAUCUUCGGACCUUGCGCGAUUGGAUGAGCCGAUGUCGGAUUAGCUAGUUGGCGGGGUAAAGGCCCACCAAGGCGACGAUCCGUAGCUGGUCUGAGAGGAUGAUCAGCCACACUGGGACUGAGACACGGUCCAGACUCCUACGGGAGGCAGCAGUGGGGAAUAUUGGACAAUGGGCGCAAGCCUGAUCCAGCCAUACCGCGUGGGUGAAGAAGGCCUUCGGGUUGUAAAGCCCUUUUGUUGGGAAAGAAAAGCAGCAGGUUAAUACCCCGCUGUUCUGACGGUACCCAAAGAAUAAGCACCGGCUAACUUCGUG
rnacentral:rRNA from 1 species